rnacentral:rRNA from 1 species
AUGGUGGAGGCUGCUCUUCUUCUUGUCACAACAAAGAUCGGAAUAGCUGUGGGAGCACAAACGCUUCACUACACUAGGUCUGUUGCAAAACUCUCAGAGAACAUGACACUGAUAAGGAAUGACCUAGAGCUUAUUCGAGCAUUUCUCAAGGAGAUUGGAAAGAAAGCUUCGACAGAUGGAGUCACUGAAACAUGGAUUGGGCAAGUCCGAAGAUUGGCGUAUGAUAUGGAAGACAUUGUGGAUCAAUUUAUGUAUGUUGUUGGUAAACACCAUCAGAAAGGGUCAUGGUGGAUUUCUGUGAAGAAAAUCGUGAAGAAACCCCAAUAUCUGUUUACACUAGGUGAAAUUGCUACUGGCCUGAAGAAAAUAAACCAAGCCCUUACACAUCUUAAACAAAACAAAGAUUGGACUCAACCAAUAGCUAGUGUGGGCGAUGUUUCUGCAACAAAUUAUGACAGCCAACAGCAACUAUAUCUUCCUGGACAUGAUUACUCAAUCUCUGAUGAUGAACUUGUGGGAUUUGAUAAAAACAAAAGAAUAUUGAUGGAGUCACUGAAUUUGGAAAAUUGUCCAAAUCUGCAAAUCAUUGCCUUGUGUGGUAUGGGUGGUAUCGGGAAAAGCACUCUUGUUAGUAAUGUGUUCAGAAAUGAAGCAUCCAACUUUGAAUGCCAUGCAUGGGUUUCCGUCUCCCAGUCAUAUAAACUACAUGAUAUUUGGAGAAGAAUGCUGAAAGAAAUCUGUGCUAAAGACAAGAAAGAAUUUGAUGCUGAGAAGAUGACCUGUGGAGACUUACAAGAUGAAUUGAAGGAACUCCUGAAGACAAGGCGAUACUUGAUCAUAUUGGAUGAUGUCUGGAAAGCUGAAGACUUCAGAAAAAUUAAAGAGGUUCUUGUUGAUGCAAAAAUGGGAAGCAGAAUAAUAGUGACAACAAGAUCUGAGGAAGUUGCUUCAAUAGCUUAUGAUGGUUGCAGGAUCAAAGUGGAGCCUCUUGAGGAGGAGGAUGCAUGGCGUCUAUUUUGCAGGAAGGCAUUUCCAAGCACUGACAAUCACAUCUGCCCAUUAGCAUUACAAGAGUGUGGUAAAUUGAUAGUGGGGAGGUGUGAUGGUUUACCAUUAGCUCUUGUGGCCAUAGGGAGCUUAUUGUCUCUUAAUGCGCAGAAUGUGACAUAA